rnacentral:rRNA from 1 species
GUUAAUGGCCAUACCACCACAAAUAUGCCCAAUCUCAUCUAAUCUCAGCAGCUAAGCAGGGUAGGGCCUGGUUAGGACUUCCAUGGGAGAAAACUUCAGUGGUCUUUUUUU